UCUAAGGCUCUCUUUUCUAUAGGGUUAUUUAAUCUAGUUGUUCUUCCAUAAUUCAUCAAACUAACAAGUUAUAUGAUACACAGGAUUCAGUAACUGUUGUAGGAUAUCCACUUGGUGGAGAUACAAUCUCUGUGACAAAGGGUGUGGUAUCACGAAUUGAGGUUAGUAUGCUCAUGGAUCCUCUGAUCUGCUUGGUAUUCAGAUUGAUGCUGCAAUAAACCCUGGAAACAGUGGUGGUCCUGCCUUCAAUGAUCGUGGUGAGUGUAUUGGUGUGGCAUUCCAGGUUUUCAGAUCCGAAGACACUGAAAAUAUUGGAUAUGUUAUUCCAACCACUGUGGUUUCUCAUUUUCUUGAUGAUUAUGAAAGAAAUGGGAAGUAUACUGGAUUUCCUUCUCUUGGGGUAUUACUUCAGAAAUUGGAGAAUCCAACAUUGCGGGCAUGCUUAAAAGUACCUUCUAAUGA